GACGAACGCUGGCGGCGUGCUUAACACAUGCAAGUCGAACGGAAAGGCCCUGCUUUUGUGGGGUGCUCGAGUGGCGAAAGGGUGAGUAACACGUGAGUAACCUGCCCUUGACUUUGGGAUAACUUCAGGAAACUGGGGCUAAUAUCGGAUAGGAGCUCCUGCUGCAUGGUGGGGGAUGGAAAGUUUCGGCGGUUGGGGAUGGACUCGCGGCUUAUCAGCUUGUUGGUGGGGUAGUGGCUUACCAAGGCAUUGAGGGGUAGCCAGCCUGCGAGGGUGACCGGCCACAUUGGGACUGAGAUACGGCCCAGACUCCUACGUGGGGCAUCAGUGGGAGUUUGUGCACAAUGGGCGGAGGCCGUAAGCAGCAUCUCCGCGUGCGAGAUGACUGCCUUCGGGGUGUAACCCUCUUUCGCCUGUGACGAAGCGUAAGUGACGGUAAUGAGUAAAGAAGCACCGGCUAACUACGUG
rnacentral:rRNA from 1 species